rnacentral:rRNA from 1 species
AUGCUCUUCUGCUCCAUUGCCUGCUCCUAUAGUUCUUCAUUGCUUGUUGUUUGUGUGUUGCAAUGCUUGUUGCUUGAACUUAUUGCUCGUUUGCACUAUCAGGGCAAGUGGUAUGUCGUGUUCGAAGGUAGGGUUCCAGGGGUUUACAGUUCAUGGGAAGCUUGCAACAAACAAGUUUCAGGGUACGGCGACAACAACCACAGAGGAGGGUUUAAGACUAGGCAGGCGGCAAAAGAUGUUUACUCCAAGUAUAUGCGAGAGCAUUCAUGCAGCAAGGUUGGGGUUGACAAGGUGGAUGGGCCGUUAGGGCUAAAGAACUUCAUCAUCUUCGUCCAAUUCAUCGCCAUAGCAAUGUUGUAG